UGGCUCAGAACGAACGCUGGCGGCAGGCUUAACACAUGCAAGUCGAACGGUAACAGGAAGCAGCUUGCUGCUUCGCUGACGAGUGGCGGACGGGUGAGUAAUGUCUGGGAAACUGCCUGAUGGAGGGGGAUAACUACUGGAAACGGUAGCUAAUACCGCAUAACGUCGCAAGACCAAAGAGGGGGACCCUCGGGCCUCUUGCCAUCGGAUGUGCCCAGAUGGGAUUAGCUUGUUGGUGGGGUAACGGCUCACCAAGGUGGGGAAACCUAGAUGGUAUGAGAGGAUGAUCAGCCUCACUGGAAUUGUCUCACGGUCCAGGAACAUACGGGAGGCAG
rnacentral:rRNA from 1 species